AUUGAACGCUGGCGGCAGGCCUAACACAUGCAAGUCGAGCGGAUGAAGGGAGCUUGCUCCUGGAUUCAGCGGCGGACGGGUGAGUAAUGCCUAGGAAUCUGCCUGGUAGUGGGGGAUAACGUCCGGAAACGGGCGCUAAUACCGCAUACGUCCUGAGGGAGAAAGUGGGGGAUCUUCGGACCUCACGCUAUCAGAUGAGCCUAGGUCGGAUUAGCUAGUUGGUGGGGUAAAGGCCUACCAAGGCGACGAUCCGUAACUGGUCUGAGAGGAUGAUCAGUCACACUGGAACUGAGACACGGCCCAGACCCCUACGGGAGGCAGCAGGGGGGAAUUUUGGACAAGGGGCGAAAGCCUGCUCCAGCCAGGCCGGGGGGGGGAAGAAGUGCUUCGGAUUGAAAAGCACUUUAAGUUGGGGGGAAGGGAAGUAAGUUAAUACCUUGCUGUUUUGACGUUACCAAAAAAAAAAGCACCGGCUAACUUGGG
rnacentral:rRNA from 1 species